AAUACCCCAUAAUAUCUCAUGCGGCAUCGCAUGGGGUUGAAAACUCCGGUGGUUGAUGAUGGGCAUGCGUUGUAUUAGCUGGUUGGUGAGGUAACGGCUCACCAAGGCGACGAUACAUAGGGGGACUGAGAGGUUAACCCCCCACAUUGGUACUGAGACACGGACCAAACUCCUACGGGAGGCAGCAGUGAGGAAUAUUGGUCAAUGGACGCAAGUCUGAACCAGCCAUGCCGCGUGCAGGAUGACGGCUCUAUGAGUUGUAAACUGCUUUUGUACGAGGGUAAACCCCGAUACGUGUAUCGGGUUGAAAGUAUCGUACGAAUAAGGAUCGGCUAACUCCGUGCCAGCAGCCGCGGUAAUACGGAGGAUCCGAGCGUUAUCCGGAUUUAUUGGGUUUAAAGGGUGCGUAGGCGGUUUGAUAAGUUAGAGGUGAAAUGUCGGGGCUCAACCCCGAAACUGCCUCUAAUACUGUUGGACUAGAGAAUAGUUGCGGUAGGCGGAAUGUAUGGUGUAGCGGUGAAAUGCUUAGAGAUCAUGCAGAACACCGAUUGCGAAGGCAGCUUACCAAACUAUAUCUGACGUUGAGGCACGAAAGCGUGGGUAGCAAACAGGAUUAGAUACCCUGGUAGUCCACGCAGUAAACGAUGAUAACUCGUUGUCGGCGAUACACAGUCGGUGACUAAGC
rnacentral:rRNA from 1 species